rnacentral:rRNA from 1 species
CCUACGGGAUGCACCAGUGGGGAAUAUUGCACAAUGGGGGAAACCCUGAUGCAGCCAUGCCGCGUAUGAAGAAGGCCUUAGGGUUGUAAAGUACUUUCGGUGAUGAGGAAGGUGUUUGGUCUAAUAGGCCAAGUAAUUGACGUUAAUUACAGAAGAAGCACCGGCUAACUCCGUGCCAGCAGCCGCGGUAAUACGGAGGGUGCGAGCGUUAAUCGGAAUGACUGGGCGUAAAGGGCAUGUAGGCGGAUGAUUAAGUUAGGUGUGAAGUCCCCGAGCACAACUUGGGAAUUGCAUUUAAAACUGGUCGUCUAGAGUAUUGUAGAGGAAGGUAGAAUUCCACGUGUAGCGGUGAAAUGCGUAGAGACGUGGAGGAAUACCGGUGGCGAAGGCGGCCUUCUGGACAGAUACUGACGCUGAGAUGCGAAAGCGUGGGGAGCAAACAGGAUUAGAUACCCUUGUAGUC